rfam:Heligmosomoides polygyrus genome assembly, scaffold: HPBE_scaffold0011369
AGGCCGGUGGUGUAAGGCGAACAUCGCUGCCCGGAAAGCAGAAGAUGCGGGUUCGAGUCCCGCCUGGCGCA